AUCUUUUGCCCUUUAUUUCCACGUAAUAAUAUAAUAAUUGCAUUUUUCCUUUUUUCCUUUUUGUGCUUUUUUUCUUUUGCAGGUGUAAUCAAGAAGAGAGUAAAGUGAGCAAUGAAACCUAUAUCAUUGUUGUUGGAUUGCAUUUUAGGGUUGAUGAUCGGAUAUGGAAAGGAUCAUCUAAUUUUGGAAUGCUAAAUCUAUGAGAUAUUACUCAAAAGAGUUGUGUUUUUGUUGGGUUUUAAUUACAAUUUCAAUUAGUGAUCGCUUGUGUUAAUACGAGUUUUGAUAAGAGAUUCAACUUAGUUUUUUGAUAUUAUUAUUGGGCUCACCCAUGACUAUUAUCCAAUAAUAUGAAUUAAUUUAAUUUAUGAUUUUUCAGGUAUUGAAUUACAAAUUGUAAUGUGACUCUCAUAUAAAG
rnacentral:lncRNA from 1 species